GUGCACCAGGCGCGAAACCUCCGCAAUGCGGGAAACCGCGACGGGGGACCCCGAGUGCCGUGGCAACGCCACGGCUUUUCCGGAGUGUAAAAAGCUCCGGGAAUAAGGGCUGGGCAAGGCCGGUGGCAGCCGCCGCGGUAAUACCGGCGGCCCGAGUGGUGGCCGCUAUUAUUGGGCCUAAAGCGUCCGUAGCCGGGCCCGUAAGUCCCUGGCGAAAUCCCACGGCUCAACCGUGGGGCUUGCUGGGGAUACUGCGGGGUCUUGGGACCCGGGAGAGGCGGGGGGGUACCCCUGGGGUAGGGGUGGAAAUCCUAUAAUCCCAGGGGGACCGCCAGUGGCGAAGGCGCCCCGCUGGAACGGGUCCGACGGUGAGGGACGAAGGCCAGGGGAGCAAACCGGAUUAGGAUACCCGCGUAGU
rnacentral:rRNA from 1 species